UACGGAGGGAGCUAGCGUUGUUCGGAAUUACUGGGCGUAAAGCGCACGUAGGCGGCUUUGUAAGUUAGAGGUGAAAGCCCGGGGCUCAACUCCGGAACUGCCUUUAAGACUGCAUCGCUUGAAUCCAGGAGAGGUGAGUGGAAUUCCGAGUGUAGAGGUGAAAUUCGUAGAUAUUCGGAAGAACACCAGUGGCGAAGGCGACUCACUGGACAUGUAUUGACGCUGAGGUACGAAAGCGUGGGGAGCAAACAGG
rnacentral:rRNA from 1 species